CCCUUAGACGUUCUGGGCCGCACGCGCGCUACACUGACCAGUGCAACAAGCAUCCGUCCUUGGCCGACAGGCUCGGGCAAUCUUUGAACGCCGGUCGUGAUGGGGAUAGACUUUUGCAAUUUUUGGUCUUCAACGAGGAAUUCCUAGUAAACGCAAGUCAUCAACUUGCAUUGAUUACGUCCCUGCCCUUUGUACACACCGCCCGUCGCACCUACCGAUUGAAUGGUCCGGUGAAGCCUCCGGAUUGGCGCGCACCUCGGUGCCGCCGAGAAGUUGGCUAAACCUUACCAUUUAGAGGAAGGUGAAGUCGUANCA
rnacentral:rRNA from 1 species